UACGUAGGAGACCGAGCGUUGUUCCGGAUUACUGGGCGUAAAGGGUGCGCGUGGUUGGGUAGGUAUGAUGUGAAAUCUCCGAGCUCAACUCGGAAAUGGCAUUGGAUACUAUUCGGCUAGAGGAGUGGAGGGGGGACUGGAAUACUUGGUGUAGCAGUGAAAUGCGUAGAUAUCAAGUGGAACACCAGUGGCGAAGGCGAGUCCCUGGACACUUCCUGACACUGAGGCACGAAAGCUAGGGGAGCAAACAGG
rnacentral:rRNA from 1 species